UGGAGCCACACGCUCUCCUCCCCCAGCCUGCCAAAGUUAAUGUUGCAGAAACCUCAUUAGGAAGAGACAUUAAGCAGUCCUGGAUGGCCGCACCAUAAAACCACCCUGGGUGACAUUUCCUUGAGCUGAGCUGUCUGCCACACAGCUUCGAGCAUCAAUUCCCACCAUGGAGAUAUCGGAGGCGCGCCCCCUCCACCGGCAGCCCUCCUUUGGAUGCUAGUGUUUGGACCUGCCAAGGAAAAGUAGCCCAGAUGCUGGGAUCCCACUCAGCCGUGAGUGGCUUGGGGACACACAGGAAACUGAACUGCCCUCUCCUUUAAUUCUGCUGACAGUAAGUGACAGGCACGGGGUCCCAGCCACCAUGGUAGGAACCCGGUACUGGGCAAUAGGGAUGGGUGAGGACAGCAGGGGAGAUGCAGGCCCCUCUUCACCUGAGGACUAGAGCAAGGCCUGCCUGCUCCCACCCACCAGGCCCCGCGUGCCGAGCCCCAGGAAGCCCCGGGGUUCUGCUGAGUCCUGGUCAGGGAUGCCGUGGGGGAGACAAAGCUCCUGUCCCAGACAUCUGCAAGUGCUUAGGACCAGUGACUUCAGAGGCUCCCAGCCCUGACACACGUGAUGGGGGUGGAGGAGGGGGUGCAGGAGAAAGAAUCGAGACACAGAGGAAAGAACAUGAGCUUUGGCCAUACAACCCUGGGUUGGACUCCAAGCUCCAACAUUGCUGCCUGUGUGACCUGGGCAAGUUACUUGACCUCCCUGAGUCUGGUACCUCCUGUGUAAGGAAAGGUCAAUCACUCUUCCUUGCUGGGUUGUGAGGAUUAACUGCCACACGUGCCACUUAUAUAAUGACCAAAGUAGGCAAAGCUGGUCCAUGCUGCUGGAAGUCAGGAGCAGGGUUACCUGGGAGGGUUAGUCUGGAAGGAGGCUUGAGGGGGCUUCUGGGUGCUUAUGAUGUUUCACUCGUUAAUGCCAGUGCCUCCCCCCCACCCCGCUGGAUCCUGGCUGGAGGAGAAAAUGCAACAAAAAUCUUCCAAAGAGAAAUACACCCAAAGAUGACAAGCUCAGGAUCUUAAGGCAUGGGCAGAUUCCCAGGCUGAGGGGCAGUUGCCCAGGACAGUGUGGAAGAAAUAAUCCCCACCCUAUAGCUAUGAGGGACGUGGACCAACUUCCCCCAGACACAGAGGCAGAGGUGGGAUGCGGUGCCCUGCAGCAUUUGGCUCUUCCAGGUGAAGACCUGUUCUUCCCAGGAUCUUGGAUACCCUGAGUGCAUGUUUGCAUUCCAAGUCUUCCUGAAGAGUGGGUCGCAUGCCCCAUACCCAGCUCCAGGAGGGGCGAGACCUCCAAGUCAAGCUGGGUGGGCAGAGACACUGGCACUGGAGAGUGAGGAUCUCGACAGGGUAGAUGAAACAGCCUGCAGAGUAGGUCUGAAGGUCUUUUCAGCUUUGUUUCAGGAAUCAAUAAAAUAACACUCCAAGGAUCCAUUACAGAAGAGAUAAUGGGACUCAGGGCUGAGGCUGGGGCUCAGUGGCAGAGCGCUUGCCUCAUAUGGUGAGGCACUGGGUUCGAUCCUCAGCACCACAUGAAAUGAAUGAAUAAGAUAAAGGUAUUGUCUCCAUCUACAACUAAAAAAUAAAAAAUAAAAAAAAACCAGGACUCAGAAGAAGAGUAAAAGACUGAAGCCGGCAUUGGGAGAAAUAUCAGAUGAGAGAGGAACACAUCUUACAGAAACCUUUGCUUCUGCUAUGAAUGUGUCCUGGUCUUCUCACCACCUUGAGAGAAAAUGUAGAGCUUACCAAGUCUGUAGACUAAAAAAAGCUUGGAAGAUGCACAGUGUUAUGGUUUAGAGAUAUGUCUAAAAUCUCGUGUGUCACACAAUUCAAGAGGGUUUAGAGGGGAAAUGAGUGGGUUAUGAGCAUCUUAACCUGAUCAGUGCAUUAAUCCACUGAUAGGGAUUAACUGGGCAGUUCUGUAGGCAAGUAGGGUGUGGCUGGAGGAGGUGGGUCAUUGGGGUGUGUCUUUGGAUAUAUUUUGUCCCUGGUCUGCAGUGUCUCUGUCUGCUUCCUGGUGAUCAUGUCCUGGGCUGCCUUCCUCCUCCAUACCCUUUCAUGAUGUUCUGCCUCACCUCAGGCAUAGAGCAAUGGAGUUGGCCAUCUAUGGACCGAGACCUCUGCAACCAUGAACCAAAUAAACUUUUCCUCCUCUAAAAUCAUUCUUGUCAGAUCUUUAGGUCCCAGCAGAAAAAGCUAACUAGAACUCAUUGUCUUGCCUGGUUUUAAAACCAGGGGGCCUCUCCCCAUGCUCCAUAUAGAAGUGGCCUGAGAAGGGAAAGUGCCACCUUCACCAGCAUCCACUGAGGGGGCCCCAGGAUGUGGGUCACCCCUUCUGGGUCACCUCCCUGAAGGCAAGUUGCAGAUCAGCCAACUCAAAAGGAGCGAUUUGCUGAAUUUCUUUGUUUUGUUUAGCAAUUUGGUUUUAACUGGGCGGUUUCCCAUUUAUCUUCAUGAGUCUUUUAAGGACAGCUGCCUUGCCCUGCCCUGGCUUCCUGCGGCUGCAGAGAGAGGCUGGGGGCAGGUUCACUGCAGUCCAAACACCAGGGGCCAGGGGAAGAGACAAAUGGAACAGUCCUUAAAAUGCUGUAAUAAAGACAAAAUGCAAACCAGUCGACUCACACCAAAUAGUUAAAAGAAGAGUCAAUUUGAUGAAUCGGUCAUUUGACAAAUUGGCCAUUCAGUGAAUUGCAUUUUGGCAAAUUGGCUUUUAGCAAAAUGACAUUUGGUGGAUUGGUCUGCUUCUGACACAGCAAUGCUUUCACAGGGCAAUUACUUCCACACUCCCUUCUGGGCUCAGGGCUGGCACAGGAGUGCAGAAGUCACUCUGCAGAUGGUCCACCCCCCUCCACCUCGAGCACUGCUCUCUGCAGCACUGGCUUCAGCCAGGGCAGAGUUUAGAAUAUUCUGGAGAAUGCACACCUGGCCCAGCAGGCAGGCCAGGCUUCGUCCCAGGCUAAGCCCAUCUAGACUCUGAGGGGCGGGUUCUUUGGGCUCUCCCUGAUAAGGGCAGAUUUGGGAGGGGGAGCAGGAUUUAAUGUGCUUUGGGAAGAAAGAGAACCAAGGAGAGGAGCAGCAGGGCUUGGCCCAGAGAACCCAGGCUGUGCUGGGGGCAGGGCUUCACUCAGGGCAAGUGACCAAAUUGUGGUGGUUUCUCGUCUGAGCUUCCCCAGAGAGGAGCUGGAGCCCUAGCCCACGCGGCAGGAGAGAUGAUGCCAGGACAGACACUUGCCUUGAAUUUUGUGGAAGGACCAGCCCCCCAAGGUAAGUAGCAGAAUAUCACUGAGUCCCUGGGGGCAUUUCUGUUCCCCUCUUUCCUGGCCACCCCAAGAAAACAAGGGGCCCAUUUCUUUUACCAAAGACCAUGCCCCAUCGUGCCCUUAUUCCGUAAAGCAUUCCAUGGCCUUUCAGAGUCCCAGCUUUGGGGGAUCUCAGAGUGAAGGGGAGCUUGAAGGACUGGAAUGGCAAGAGGUCAGUCUGGCUGGGACAUGGCGCCCCUCCCAUCCUCUCCCCCGACACACGGGACACCUGGAGGGAACAAGACCCCAGCUACCUCCCAGAGCCGAAAUACAGAGCCCUGUCCACUGCAGGGACAAGUAAGGCUUCCAGGUGGUUGAGGGUGAUCUGCCAGAGGCCAGGACAACAGAAGCCUGAGGAAUCACUAGAAGCAUCAGAGUCUGGAGGAGCAGCUGCCUGGGAGCUGUCCGUGGUCCUGAACCUCCUCUGGCGGCUCUUCCUCUGCUCAGGGUUAGAUGCUCUUGGAACCCAGCCACCUUCAUGUUCA
rnacentral:lncRNA from 1 species